rnacentral:lncRNA from 1 species
AAUCUUACUUAGCUUUAAAACACAUUUACGUGUAUCACAAAAGACAGAACAAGAAUUUGUGAUUACAAGUUUUCUUUUCUUUUUUUUUUUUUUUUUUUUUUUUUUAGGGAAAGUGAAGAAAGAAUGAAGAACCAUCAUUUCCAAUAGGAAGAAGGCAGUGCCUCUUAACAACCCUGACUGGAACCCCAGUAACACCACAGAUGAAUGGAAAAGGAAAAGUUAUUAAUGUGCAUAUUGGAGGGUCUACAAAGAACUAGGGCCAAACUCCUUUUUUCUUUUUUUUGAAAGAAAGAAAGAGAAAGAGAAAGGGGAGGGAGAACAGGAGUCUUGCUCUAUUGCCCAGGCUGGAAUGCAAUCUAAAAAUAGACAAGAUCUUUCUCUGUUGCCCAUGCUGGAAUGCAGUGGCAUGAUCAUGGCUCACUGCAGCCUUGACCUCCUCAGCUCAAAAGAUCCUCCUGCCUCAGUCUCCCAAAUAGCUGGAACCACAGGUACGUGCCACCAUUCCAGCUUAUUUUAAAAAAUCAUUUUUAGAGAUGGGGUCUUGCUAUGUUGUUCAGGCUGGUCUUGAACCCCUGGGCUCAAGCAUCCCUCCCACUGAAGCCUUCUGAGUCACUGUGAUUACAGGCUUGAGCCAUCACAUCCAGCCAACCCUGGGACACAUAAAUUGCAUUUUUCCCUAAAUAACAAACUCCAAAUAAACUGGAGACUUAUUUUUUCAACCAUCUUUUCAUAUCUCUAUAGAAGAUUGCCUGAGCUCCCUAACUCUCAAUAAUAGAAUGUACUGCAUUUGAUAGUCUCCAAAUCCUUAACAUUUCCUAAGCCAAAGGCAUGAAUGUGUUCAAAGCUUUGUCCUUUCCUUUCUGGGAUAUGUGUGCAAGAGGCUAUGUGUGGAUUUUACAUGAUCAUUCUCAGCUGUUUCUAUUUAUGUCUCCUCCUACAGAUUAUGAGGUUCUCAGGGGCGGGAAUGGAUUUUUCUAAAUCAGGAACUUAAAUGAAGCAUGUGCCCAAUAAAUAUGUAUUGAAUUUAAUUGAAUUUUCGUUUUUAAAAGGUGUCAUCAUUUACAAUCAGCAUUUCUAAAGAAAGCACAUUGAACAUGAGGCUGAGGAGAUUGUGCCGCAUGGUGAGAGCUUGGUUCACUGGCUCCAAGUCUGGACCACAUUGAGCAGCCACGUUUUCUCUUUUUGCCUUGUAGGAAGACUGAGUCUCAAAGCAGGUAGCUCCUCGGUAUAGAGACACACUGUGUAGUGGUGAAGCUGGGCUGGUGGAAAGCUGGAAUGAAAUGAGAACAGCCUUCAGUCCCUGGACUAUUAUAACAGUCUCAAUGUUCUCUGCCUUUCCCCGCCACCUUCACCUUCAAAUCUUUUUUUUUUUUUUGAGAUAGAGUCUCGCUCUGGUAGACCAGGU